UAUAUCGGAACGUACCCUAGAGUGGGGGAUAACGUAGCGAAAGUUACGCUAAUACCGCAUACGAUCUAAGGAUGAAAGUGGGGGAUCGCAAGACCUCAUGCUCGUGGAGCGGCCGAUAUCUGAUUAGCUAGUUGGUAGGGUAAAAGCCUACCAAGGCAUCGAUCAGUAGCUGGUCUGAGAGGACGACCAGCCACACUGGAACUGAGACACGGUCCAGACUCCUACGGGAGGCAGCAGUGGGGAAUUUUGGACAAUGGGCGAAAGCCUGAUCCAGCAAUGCCGCGUGAGUGAAGAAGGCCUUCGGGUUGUAAAGCUCUUUUGUCAGGGAAGAAACGGUGAGAGCUAAUAUCUCUUGCUAAUGACGGUACCUGAAGAAUAAGCACCGGCUAACUACGUGCCAGCAGCCGCGGUAAUACGUAGGGUGCAAGCGUUAAUCGGAAUUACUGGGCGUAAAGCGUGCGCAGGCGGUUUUGUAAGUCUGAUGUGAAAUCCCCGGGCUCAACCUGGGAAUUGCAUUGGAGACUGCAAGGCUAGAAUCUGGCAGAGGGGGGUAGAAUUCCACGUGUAGCAGUGAAAUGCGUAGAUAUGUGGAGGAACACCGAUGGCGAAGGCAGCCCCCUGGGUCAAGAUUGACGCUCAUGCACGAAAGCGUGGGGAGCAAACAGGAUUAGAUACCCUGGUAGUCCACGCCCUAAACGAUGUCUACUAGUUGUCGGGUCUUAAUUGACUUGGUAACGCAGCUAACGCGUGAAGUAGCACCGCCUGGGGAGUACGGUCGCAAGAUUAAAACUCAAAGGAAUUGACGGGGACCCGCACAAGCGGUGGAUGAUGUGGAUUAAUUCGAUGCAACGCGAAAAACCUUACCUACCCUUGACAUGGCUGGAAUCCUUGAGAGAUCAGGGAGUGCUCGAAAGAGAACCAGUACACAGGUGCUGCAUGGCUGUCGUCAGCUCGUGUCGUGAGAUGUUGGGUUAAGUCCCGCAACGAGCGCAACCCUUGUCAUUAGUUGCUACGAAAGGGCACUCUAAUGAGACUGCCGGUGACAAACCGGAGGAAGGUGGGGAUGACGUCAAGUCCUCAUGGCCCUUAUGGGUAGGGCUUCACACGUCAUACAAUGGUACAUACAGAGCGCCGCCAACCCGCGAGGGGGAGCUAAUCGCAGAAAGUGUAUCGUAGUCCGGAUUGUAGUCUGCAACUCGACUGCAUGAAGUUGGAAUCGCUAGUAAUCGCGGAUCAGCAUGUCGCGGUGAAUACGUUCCCGGGGCU
rnacentral:rRNA from 1 species